rnacentral:rRNA from 1 species
UUUGACCUCAAAUCAGGUAGGACUACCCGCUGAACUUAAGCAUAUCAAUAAGCGGAGGAAAAGAAACUAACAAGGAUUCCCCUAGUAACUGCGAGUGAAGCGGGAAAAGCUCAAAUUUGAAAUCUGGCAGUCUUUUUUUUCUUCUUUGGCUGUCCGAGUUGUAAUCUAGAGAAGUGCUUACCUGCGCUGGAC